CCCUUAGAUGUCCGGGGCUGCACGCGCGCUACACUGAAGGAAUCAGCGUGCUAAAACCAUUGUCGAAAGGCAUUGGUAAACCCAUUAAAAUCCUACGUGAUUGGGAUCGGGAAUUGCAAUUAUUUCCCUUGAACGAGGAAUUCCCAGUAAGUGUGGGUCAUAAGCUCGCGUUGAUUACGUCCCUGCCCUUUGUACACACCGCCCGUCGCUGCCCGGGACUGAGCCGUUUCGAGAAAAGCGGGGACUGCUGCUGUCGGGGCUUUCGGGCCUUGGCUUCGGUGGAAACCGCUUUAAUCGCAGCGGCUUGAACCGGGCAAAAGUCGUAACA
rnacentral:rRNA from 1 species